GACGAACGCUGGCGGCGUGCUUAACACAUGCAAGUCGAACGGAAAGGCCCUGCUUUUGUGGGGUGCUCGAGUGGCGAACGGGUGAGUAACACGUGAGUAACCUGCCCUUGACUUUGGGAUAACUUCAGGAAACUGGGGCUAAUACCGGAUAGGAGCUCCUGCUGCAUGGUGGGGGUUGGAAAGUUUCGGCGGUUGGGGAUGGACUCGCGGCUUAUCAGCUUGUUGGUGGGGUAGUGGCUUACCAAGGCUUUGACGGGUAGCCGGCCUGAGAGGGUGACCGGCCACAUUGGGACUGAGAUACGGCCCAGACUCCUACGGGAGGCAGCAGUGGGGAAUAUUGCACAAUGGGCGGAAGCCUGAUGCAGCAACGCCGCGUGCGGGGUGACGGCCUUCGGGUUGUAAACCGCUUUCGCCUGUGACGAAGCGUGAGUGACGGUAAUGGGUAAAGAAACACCGGCUAACUACGUG
rnacentral:rRNA from 1 species